ensembl:lncRNA
CAGGGCAGUUGGUGUUUCCACCAGAGAAAAGACCUGGCCCACUUUGCUCAAUUGGCCCAUCCAUUGGUGGUCCAGCAUUUACUUUCCUGAAUCACUGCUCUGGCUAGCGGGGCUGGCAGCAACAACUCGAUAUUCAAGCCUCACGUAGACACAGGAACUGAAUUGCCCCAAUGAUUCUUUGAUCUGGCGCAGAACAUGCUAUACACAGUGGACUCCACGUUGCAGGUGGAUGUUCCGGCCCGGCCUGGCAGAGGCGCGCACGUAUCACCGAGUCGUAUGCUGGCAACCCUUGAGGGCCAGAUGACUUUUCUGCUUUGGAGGCUGGCACUUCAUAAUUACAGCUGUGUUUGUGUUGUCAUACCCAAUUACCUCACUUACAGCCUUAAAAUAGAAUCCAGCCAAAGGUGCUGGCUGCGCAGACAAAAAGGGAGGCUUCACAGGACUCAGAACCUGGGGACUGAGCCAGAGGGGAGGGCUUGAAGCUAGACACAAACGUCCUAACUCUUAAAAACCCAGGGCUCCUUUCCCUCUCCUCAUGAGGGAAACAGAACAGUGCCGCAAGACUGUUAAUGAAUGAAUAGGAGCAUGAUGGAGACAGAACUCCAAGUCAAUCUUGUUUCUAGUUUGGAAACAUUCAUUUACCCACGAAUGAAGUCAACCAAAGAGGGGAUCUUAGGUGUCCUGUUGGCUAAGGGAGAAAACCCAGAAGAGUUCUGUCACUGUGUCCGUAUGUCCCUCCAAUGAUGGGAAUACCCCAAUCCACAAGUGACUCUUCUCUCCAAGAAGAAUUUCUGCCAUCUGCCAUUCCCACAACUGCAGGCCACAGCAGAGAACCCAAUGCAGAAGAGAGCCCUCCAAUUACAGAGCAAGAGCCAUUCCCCAGGCAGGUAGGGAAAGAACAGCAGCUUAUCUCCGAGGGCAAGAAGGAAGCAAACCUCUGUAGAAACCAAGUCGUAGCAAUGCCCAGCACUCGCCUCGCUCUGAAGCUUUCUCCACAGAAACCGUCUUUAUCAUCUGUCUGUGGAGCUUGGCGUCUUCUUGACUGGUCUGCACCCUGUCAAACCCACCCUCCAUGGCACAGCCAACCAUAACGCCAAGCACCCCACCCCGCUGCUGGGACCCUCCACGACUCCCAGUGACCAGUAGGGUGCAGUGCACAUUGUAGCCCAUGACUCUCCACCAGGCCUUCCCGGCACACCAGCCAGCCUCCCACUGCUUCCUGUUCCUACUUGAUCUUCCAGCAAGGUUAAAUGGCAUGAGGUUCUGCACCUACAUCAAGCUGUCUCUCCCCUCAGCGCUGUUUUUCAGGUUGUCCGCUCCCUCACCAUUCCUUCUUCCACAACCUAGUUAAAUCCAAUGCAUCUCUAAACACUUAAUUCAGAUUUCAACCCCUCCAAGAAGCCUUCCCUGACACCUCUCUCCCUCUCAUUUUCUACAUGAGAAUCCUCCAGCAUUAAAUGUAAUAUCAUGUGCUCUGGAUAUCUGCAGAGGAGUCUAUUGCCCCUAUUGUUAUGAAGAUUCUUGACAGCAGGGGAUCUGUCUUAUUUGAUGUGAUGUAUACCUGCUGCUGGGACAGAGGAGGUUUUCAAAACCUAGAUGAAUGAAUGCAUGGAUGAAUGAGUGAAGGACAAACAAAGGGGUAUUGACUGAGCCACUUUUGUGUUAGAGCCUCAGAGAGAGCAGAAUCUUCCCCCACAUUACCAUGAGAAGGGCCCAG